GGGUCUGUAGAUCAGUUGGUUAGAUCGCACCCCUGAAUAAGGGUGAGGUCGGUGGUUCAAGUCCACCCAGACCCA
rnacentral:tRNA from 1 species